GUUAAUUUUAUUGAAUGUCUUGAUAAAUUCAGAAUGAUAUAGAGAAGAUUAGCAUGGCCCCUAAGUAAAGAUGACACGCAUAAAUCAAGAUGCAUUUUUGUGUAAU